rnacentral:rRNA from 1 species
AUUGAACGCUGGCGGCAGGCUUAACACAUGCAAGUCGAGCGGGGGAAGGUAGCUUGCUACUGGACCUAGCGGCGGACGGGUGAGUAAUGCUUAGGAAUCUGCCUAUUAGUGGGGGACAACAUCUCGAAAGGGAUGCUAAUACCGCAUACGUCCUACGGGAGAAAGCAGGGGAUCUUCGGACCUUGCGCUAAUAGAUGAGCCUAGGUCGGAUUAGCUAGUUGGUGGGGUAAAGGCCUACCAAGGCGACGCUCUGUAGCGGGUCUGAGAGGAUGAUCCGCCACACUGGGACUGAGACACGGCCCAGACUCCUACGGGAGGCAGCAGUGGGGAAUAUUGGACAAUGGGGGGAACCCUGAUCCAGCCAUGCCGCGUGUGUGAAGAAGGCCUUAUGGUUGUAAAGCACUUUAAGCGAGGAGGAGGCUACUUUAGUUAAUACCUAGAGAUAGUGGACGUUACUCGCAGAAUAAGCACCGGCUAACUCUGUGCCAGCAGCCGCGGUAA